ACAGCUUUGUUUACUACAACAGAGGGACUACAUCCCUGGGGCUGGGGUACGCAGCUCUUCCCUCGGCUCCCAGGGCCGGAUGGGUAAAUUAGCCACCGAUGUGACCCUAAACAAUGUCCUCUGGGUUGGGGAUCAAUUAGACAAGCCUGUGAAAUAAUGACACCCCUGGGAUGAUGUUCCUAGGGAGACCCCCUUUGGACCCCUGGCUGAGGUCUUCAGGAAUUGAUCUUUCCGAACACACCACAGGUACACAGCUUCAGCAGUAAUUACCACACUGCAGGAGCAGACGAGUACACAAACAAGGCACAGUUGUGGCCGACCAAACCGGAGACGCGAGUUGCUGCGUAUGACACCAACUGGCGAGGAGAAGAUAAGCAGGAGGAAAAUCAACCCUGAUGUAAUGAAGACUGACUGAACAGAUGUAAUGAAGACUGCUUGGAGGUUUGAGUGACGCCUCCAAACAUCUAUCCUGAGCCCUGAACAACUCCGAAAUCCCACUUAUCCAUGAAACGGACCGCUGUUGACAGUCAAACCGUGUGUGCACAUGUGCAAACUUUGCAUGCAAGCCUCCAAUUUCCACACCAGAGCACACAACCACAGCAUUUUUCAUGCUGACAAUGACACCACUGUCGAGACCAAAGCACCUGCUCAUAAUGAUGGGAAAUUGUAGGCUGCUUCAGAGUUCCUGCUGAGCACGAGGCCCACGGAGAACAACAGGAGUACAUGUGUUCAGCACCGGCACAAUGGCAGGUAGGAGCGCUCAAGCGAACUCAAAAUGGAGGAAAACAACAAACCGCUUUAGAGGAGGCCUUCUGAAUGCUCUGAAAAGCCCAUGACAUAGCUGUUCAGAACAAUGAUUCUCAAUUAGUUUUGCAUCAGAACUCAAAUUUAGCAUUGGUAUAUCAAGUGGCGACCCAACAUGAUUCCAAAUGUAACCUGUUCAUACAAAACAAAGGCAUCUACAGGCUUCUUUGAUGGCAUCUACAGUUCCACAAAGAACCUCCAUUGAACCUUUCCAUUUAUUUAUUUUUUUUAUUAUUAUUUUUUUUUUUAAAGAAAAGAGAUACGUUUCUUAAAAAAUGAAGGUUUUCAAGAAGAACUAGAACUGGAUUUUACAACAAUGAAACAGAAAAACCAUUUAUUUUCCCAAAGAACCUUUCAGGUUCUUUCUUAAAAUAACCUUUAUUUAUUUAUUUUUUCUUAGUGUAAGGAUCUUUAAAAAGAACAUUCUUCACUACAUAGAAUAUUUAGAUAUUAAAUAUUAAGAAGCACAUUUUGUUCUAUAAAAAUAAAGUUUCUUAAAAAAAAAAAAAAAAAGAAGAAGAAAAAAAGAAAAAGACCAAGAACUAUUUUCACUGUAUUUCACUGCAUUCUUGAGUUGGACAUAUGAUUCUUGGGAUAAAAAAAAAGUUUCAAUGCACAUAUAUUUUAUAAAAUAAAAUAAAAUAUAAUAUAAUAGAUAUAUUACAAUAAAAAAAAUAAAUGCAACAUGAAAGAGAAAAAAAAAUGUAAAAGUAGUUUACACUUAAACUUUGUAGAAUGUGUAAGGUUUUCUAUGACGUCUGAUUGCAAAUUCCUUUUUGGUCCUAAGUGCAGCCUUUAUUUUUAAGAGUUCACAAUAAUACAAUAAAUGCAAUGAAUUGCAUCAUGCUAUGUUUCUUAGAAGAGCGAUUUCUCUUAAUUGCAUCUUUCCAAGUAAGUAAUUUAUAGCUCAGCUGCUCUUGUAUCUACAUUGCAUCUCUUAUCGUUUCAUGUUCUCCGCCCAAAGGUCAACUGGGCAAAUAUUAAAACACAGUAUAAUCUUGUAUGUGUUUGGCCUUAACGAUGCGAUUUUAAAGCAUUGGAUGCGGUCCAAAGCAGCAUUAAAAAGGAAACGAAAUACACUCCGUGGCCCUCUCACCUACCGCACUCAGAGGCUGUAAUGGCCCGUUAAUGUCAUUUCGGACUGUCAGUAUAACCCAGCCCAGCUGAGUCAGUCCGCUUUCUUUGGCAGGGCACUGUGCUCGCUUUUGCAAGCAUACCCUUGGGGCCGUGCUACCUGAGAUCAUGCCCGACUUGCCUUGAGCCAUAUUUUUAAUACAAGGACGAAAUGUGUUAGCACAAAUCAUUGUAAUUAUGUUCACUGCGUAGUAUCGCAACGAUUAUAUAAGUUAUGUUGCCAUUAUUAUUCCCUAUAGUCUUUCUCUUCGCCCCUCUCUCGUCUCUUUCGCUGUUUUCAAGCCGGCCCAAAUGAAAAGCGCCUGAUGAGCACGUCCAUCGUCGUGAUAAUAAUAAUCAUACGCAAUUAGUGGGUAAUUUACAGACCGAUUGGUCUACAGAGGGAGCACUGUAGGUCGCUGGGAGCGGGGUUUGAUGAACCUGGAGUGGAACCAGAAUGCUCCAAUUUAAAUUUCAGCAGAGGAGUGGUCUCAAGAGGAGAGUCUCGCAUUUUCAUCCUAAAAUUUUAUCUCAGCGGUAUGUCUAUGCGAAUGAGCCUUACAAUCAAAUGACAAUCAUACUUUUUUUUUUUUUUCUCCGUCAAGAAAUAAAUAAUAAAUUCAAAUGUUAUUUUCUUCGACAGCAGGCCUGCUGCUAAAAAUAUGCACUGUCGUUUCAUGCUUCUGCAUGGCUGCUGGAACAACAGUAAGCCGCUGUCCAUGGUGCUGAAAUAUUCUCACUGAGGCACAACUAGUCAAAACUGGUCAAAAGUUUGGAAUAAUUAACAUUUUUUAAUGAAGAAGUGUCUUUUGCUCACCAACGAAUGCAUUGAUUUGAUCAAAAAUACAGUAAAAGCUGAAAUUCUCUGAUAUAUCAAUUUAAAAUAACUUGUUACUACUUGAACACAUUGUAAAAUGUAAUUUAUUUCUGUGAUGGCAAAACUGAAUUUUCAGUGUCACGUGGUCAUUCAGUCAUUCUAACAUGCUGAUUUGAUGCUCAAGAAACAUUUCUCAUUAUUUUCAAUGUUGAAACAGUUGUGCUCCUUCAUAUUUUGUGUAAACUGUGACACAUUACCAUUCAAAAGUACGGGGUAAGUAAGUUUUUUUUAAAGAAAAAUGUUAAAUAAAUGCCAUUCUUUUGAACUUUUUAUUCAUCAAAUGUAUGCUAGUUUCCACAAAAAUAUUAUACAAUAUAAACUUUUCAGCACUGAUGAUAAUAGAACCAUUAAUUGGGCACUGAUAAAAACUGAGCACUAAAUCAACAUUUACUACUGAAAAUGUAGCUUUGCCAUCACAGUAAUAAAUUAAAUAAAAAAAUACAUAUAUAUUUCAAUAGAAAAUGAUUUUAAAGUGUAAUAAUAUUUACUGUUGAUCUUUGGUAAUGUCAUGCCCCUGGACUGUUUUGUUGUGUUUUUGCUCCCCAUGUGUUCCAUGACCCAGUUUCUUCCCCGUCUAUAGUUAUUCCCGGCACCUGUGUUUUUCCAAAUAUCCUGUGUUUAAAAGCCCUAGUCUGUUCAGUUAGUGUUUGUCGGGUCUACUCAUGAUGUAUGUGUGUCAACUCCAGCCUAUCAUGACAGGUAAGCAUUGUGACUUAUUUCAAAAACAUUCAAAAAGUAAUUAUUUCAAACUUUUGGCCGAUAGUGUAUCAACUGACCCCUUCUAAAAUGGCUUUACUCGAAAGAGAUUGCUAUAAUAUUAUACUGAAAGUAACAAAAGCCUUUUUUGACACCCCUCACUCUUUGACAAUAGAGUGCACUGAAAUAACUUGUGCCCUUGGAACAUUACUUUGAAUCAAAUCCUGUUCCGGCGGUGUAAUUGUUGAGGAAGGCAAAUAAACGAGUGGCAAAUGAAAUUCUUGCAGGGCAGCUUGCACAAAUAGAUUGAUAAUGUGUGCCAGCCGCCGUAAAGUACGUUGAGGUUUUGAUAUUACCUGUUCUGCAUAUUAAUGUCUCUCCUAACCUGUCCUUCAUCCAGGACAAAGUUCUAAAUCUCAGAGAGCCUUGAGCCUCGGAGGCGGUUCAUCAUCUCAGUGUAAUUUAGGAGGACGAGCAGGAAAAGGGCAGAGGAACACAGAACUCCAAAAAACCUUUGACAGAGCGGCGCUAUGUAAAAGAUGCAGAGUUAGCUAAUUGGAAGCUAUAAAUGUGAGGAAGCAGAAAGAAAAUUAGUCAUGUGACUCCAGUCAAAUACAAACAACAGCCAAGCAAGCAUAUAACAGGUGAUAAUUAUCAGAUCCACUGAGACUAUGGUACAUGCCAGUCUGAGAAACUUAACAGAAAACCACUCUUGAAUUUCAUAAAUUUAACAGCUAUGUUGCAGAAAAGGAUCUGAUUUUACUGAUAAGAAAAAAGCUAUUUGGAUCAAUACCAAGGGACACAUAUAUGGAAUGAAUAAAAGCAUGGAUUGGUGGAGUUUUUCCUCUUUAAUUAUUGUUUACUCUAGAGGAGCUGCUUAUCGUGAGAGCGGUGAGAUUUUUUUGCAUCAGAGGGGAGCUGUUGGUUGUUAGUGCAGUAUUGAAAACAGAUUAGCGCUUUACCACUUGACACAGUUGGGCAUUUCUUUCAAACUUAAAUCCCCAGUCACAACUCUCAGCUGACUCUUGACUCCUCUACCCCAUUGUAGAAGAAAACACAGCCUUGAAACAACAUUAUCCCCAUUCAGAAGACAAGCUGAGCUCUCUUUGAGAAAAAGACCAAAAUGGCAGUGACCUAAGCUACAUCCCCGCAUCAGACAGCAGUGUUUGAAGGACUUCUGUUAAAGUGAUACUUCAAAAAAAAUCACGAUUAAUCGCAUCCAAAAUAAGUUUUUCUUUACAUAAUAUAUGUGUGUAUACUGUGUAUAUUUAUUAUGUACAGUAUAUAUAAAUACAAACAUAUGCAUGUAUACACCACAGGACUGAGCUGGAGGGAGGCUAUCAUCAACAAAGCUCGACCCAGAGCCCAGCCAAGCAUCACCUCGCUGCGUGGAACUGCCUGAGCCCACCGUAGACGGAGAGCCAGAGCCUACCGCGGUCAUUGAGCCAUCGCCAUUGCCAUCAGGAGCGACAGAGCUGAUGAUCGUCUUGGAGCCGGAGCCCCAAGUGUCUGAUCAGGUGUGAGAGCUGACAGCACAAGCGAUGGUGGAAAUAGUUGUGGAGAUCGCGGGGGCGAAGGAAAGCCCCGUCCACUGCACCACUGCUGAGGGUGAGUGUACCCUGGACUCUGAGGAUAUAAUAGACUUCGAUGUGGAUGUAUAGUGAUAUGCCCUGUCUUCUGCCAUGCUUUAAACCUCCUAUCUGCCCUGAACUAUCUGACUGUAUGAUAAGGACCAGGGAGGUCGUUUCCCUGUCCGCUGCGCUCUUACUAUUGGGAGUUGCGAUCUGCUGUGUGUGGACAGCACACAACAUCCCAGAAAGAGCUGAUGCUGACAAAUUCCCACCCGCCCUCCCUCUACUGCCUCCUCCUGUCAUUCCUGUGUCAGCUCCACCACUGUUGCAUCCUGUCAGUCCCUCUGCUCACCCUCAGCCCACCAUCUGUGCGGUGGGAUCGCCGCGGGUCUGCCAGUCUCCAUCGAUGUCGUGGCUGGAGGAUCCCUCGUCUGACUCCGCCUCGGCCAGUUGACACAGCGGCUCCAUCAUGGCUCCUAGCUCUCUCAUCUCCACCGUGGCUCCUCAGUCCACCUUCUUCGCUGGGCUCCCUCGUCCCUUGGUCAGUCAUCGAUCCAUCCGCCGCCUCAGGACUCCACUCCUCCGGCUGCACCUUGUCCCUCCGUCCCUUCAGCUCUGUCAGGCUCCUCCUUCCCUUUGGCUCCACCUUGGUCCUCUGUCACUCUGGCUCCACCGCGGCCUUCCGGAUCCCCGCCUCCACCUUGGUCGCCGGAGCCUACUGCUCCGCCUUGGACCUCCUAAUCCUCCCAUUUGCCCUGGCUCUGCGGCUCUCCAUCUCCACCUCGGGCUCCCCCACCACCUGCUCCGCCACGGUCAGUCAGCCCCCUGGAGUCGUCAGCCAUUCCUCUACCAUGGCUCCUCCCUCCGUCGGCUCCACUGUGGGCCGCCAUCCUGGCUGGGGUCUGGGUCCCUCCUGGCUUCUUCUGCUCCAAGUCCCUCCUGUUUCCACCAUGGCUCAUUCCUCCAUCGUCUCCUCCCUGGUUUUUUCUGUCUCCUAAACGGCUCCUCCCACUGUCAUCACUGCCCUGGUGUGUCCUGCCACGGUGCGAGGUUGCGCCUACCGGGGAGGGGGUGUACUGUCACAAUUAUGGACUUGAGUUUUGCCUUUUGUGUUUCCUUUUUCUGUUUGCCCUUAUUUGGUUUUGUUCCUGUCCUAGUUUAAUUCUUGUUAUCUUCUUAUCUUGUUUAGUUCAUUAUCAGUUUACCUCCUGCACCUGUGUUGCCCUCAUUAGUUGCCUCAUUUAAGCUCACUCCUUUGUUCAAUGCGCUGUCGGUUAUUGUUUGUUACUGCUGGCUUCGUGUGCCUUUCCUUGACCUGAGCGUGACAAUAAAAUAUAAGAAUAUAAAUAUAUAAAUGUAUAUACAUGUAAAUAUUUUCAAAAUACUAUACUGUAUGUGUGUGUGUAUUUAUUACAUAAUAAAUAUACACAAUACACACAUCUUA